UUCCUCCUCUGAGCUGUUCCCCCAGGGAGCUGAGCCCAAGAACUGUUCCUCUGUCUCAGUCAGCAGGCGACCUUGGGUGAUGCCCCCAGCCUCUCUGAACCUCGGCUUCACUGUCUAGGCAGCAAGGACGCCAAAGCCAGCCUCACUUCGUCCUUGAGGGGAUUGAGGGAGAUGAGGCUGAAUAAGCCCGUGGUAAGCUGUAAAGCCGGGCUCGGCUUUGGAGCUGCCGAUUAGAGAGUGUCACGAGGUCCUGGGUCACUGUGAUAGGUGGCAGGGGCCAAGGCGCACUCGAGCUCUUGUCCCUCGAGGUGCCCUUGUCCUGACCUGUGGCGCAGCCACAUUCGAUCUUCUCGGCCCCAGCCUUCCCAUAUCAUCCUGCAGAGAUCCAGUCACAUCCGAUUUGCAGAGUUGGGAGGCCCUAGGGAUCAGGUAGUGCCCAUUUUACAGAUGGUCAGACUGAGAGCCGCCCAGAGGACCUGGCCUUGAUUGGACAGAGGCAGGAUGGGGCUUCAAAGGCCUUCCCUUGGCCAGCUGUGAGUUCAGGCUCUGUGGAACUUUAGUCAUUGAUGUCUCAGAGACUUGAAAUUGGACCCGGACCUGGGAAGACAAGGGACAGAGGUGCCCGGUCUUCAGGGCUAGAGGGUGAGUGUGUGGGCCCCCCACUUACCCAUUCUCCCUUCUCUGUGCCCUCUCAGGGAAUCCUGCCACUCCUUUCUACUCAGGGUCUGCCCUGCACGAGGCCAUGGGCUCCGGGGAUGGUGCGUUCUAACUCUCUGCCUGUCAGUGCUUGUCAAAGGAUUUGGGAGCCUGUCAGACUUUAUCUGAAAGUCUUUCCAAAGGUCCCAAAAUGAUAAGACACUUGUGAGUCAUUAAACACAUUCCCGUAUACAGGAAAGAGCUGAAAAAUAAAUUAUAAGGAGCACCUGGAAUGCAGGCUGACCACAGGUGGAGGAAGUCUGGGUGGGAAUUCGGGGUGACCUUGGAACCCCAAGGUCACCCAGCAGAUGUGGCUGACCCCCUCCUUUUGCAGAAGGUCAUAAGCGAGGUUCUUCAGAGCCACAUCUCACUCCUCUGUGUUGGUCAGCUUAUCUUGGCCAGUGUUUGUUUGAAUUUACGGGUUCCGGGGAGGAGUUCUGGAUGUGGAAAUGCCCAGGGUGGCCCUGAGGUGUGAUGGGAGCUCUUUUUUUAAUGUGCUUCGUGUCUUGGGUUAAUAAACCUUGCUAUUGUCAGUUCUGGCUGGACACUGAAUUUGGGGUAGAAUAUUGGCUUUUGAGAAGCUCAUGGCCCAGAGGAAGAUGGACAGUGUGGCAGCUUCUGUGACCAUGCCGCCCAUGAGGGGCCAUCACUGAGUGUUUGAAGAUGGCAAGACAGGAGGCAUUUCAGCUUCUUAGAGGAGGUGAUGCUAGAGCUGGCAACUUCUGUGAGCAGAGGAACAGAACGGGCUGGCAUUUGGGGCAGGGGGCAAGGCAGGCGUGAGGUGUGAGAUAGCCAAGCGUGUUUGUACAACAAGGCUCACAGGGAUCCAGCUGGGGAGAGGAAUAGGCGCCAGGUGGUGGGGGGCCUUGAGCGCAGGGGAAACGGGGCUGGGCUUUAUUCUGAAGCAGCAGAGAUAGAAAUAGCAUCAGGCUGGCUUUGGGAACAGCAGAGUAGAAGCCAGUUAAACCCAGGAGACCCUCCUGCUGAGUGAGGAACUAGAUGGGGUCCAGGCCAGAAGGUGGCCAGGCCACUGCACAAAGUUUUUUCUGUGCCAGCAAAAAUUGCCCUGAGCUCUUUUGUAAACAUGGGGUGAAGGCCCGGACAUGCCGUUUAACAGGUACACAGACCAUUAACUGCGCCUAUGACCUCCCUGGAGCAUGUGCAGCCCUGGCGCCUUAUGUCUGUCCUGGACAAGACUUCUUUCAGGGUUUCCUGCCCACCUCACCUGUUCAGGGGCUUGGUUUGGAAACCUGAGCUGAGGCGCAAGGGUUAGGGGUGGCCAAGAGAGGGCAGAAAGAAUGGAAAUUUCUCUUCUGUUUCUAAAGGUCUGUAAGUCAACCAACUCUCUCUUGUAAAAACCAACCUACAAACAAGUCACUGAACAUAAUAAAAGGAGAGUGGGUGUGGGGGCAGGGGGCAGGUCCAUUAACUCUAGUCAGGCAUCAGAAUUACCUGAGCUACUUCUAACGAAUUCAGGUUCCCAGGCCUGGAUGCCAAAUCCUUGGGGGUGGAGCUUAGGAAUCUGUACUUUUAAAAGUUUUCUCUUGCAAGUUUUUUAAAAAAUAUAUUAAAAUUGAGGUAUAAUUUGCAUUCAGUGAAAUGCAAAGAUUGUGUUACUAUUUAUUGAGUCUUGCGCAUUUAUAGAUCUGUGUAACUACCAUCCAGAUCCAGAUAUAGAACAUUUCCCAGCUCCCCCAGAAAGUUACGCUCCUCCCCUUCCAAAGGCAACCAGUUUCUCAUUUCUAUCGCCAUUCGCUUUGCCAAGCCUAGAACUUCAUAUGAAUGCCUUUGUAGGACAUAUUUUGUGUCUGGCUUCUUUCUGCCCGAUGUUUUGCGAUCCAUCCGUGCUACUGAGUGUAUCAAUAGUUCAUCCUUUUAUUGCAGAGGAGUAAGGCCAUUGCAUGGAUGCCCCAUAGUUUGUUUAUCCACUCUCCUGUGCAUGAACAUUUGGGUUGUUUCCAGUUUGGGGUGAUUGUAAAUGAAGCUUCCAUGAGCCUUUGUGUACAAGUCUCUUUGUGGGCGGAUAGUUUCAUUUCUUUAGGAGUGGAACUGCUGGGAUGUAGGGUGGGUAAUUUGCUAGCUUUAUGAGAAACUGUCAAAGAGUAUCUUUUAAUUACAAAACAGUAGACCUCAAACAAUACAAAACUGUACAAAUUAAAAACAAUUCAUAGUCUAAUCCUCAGUCUGUGUGAUCAUCUGUCAUCUAUCACCUACCUCUUCCUAUAAUAACAAUAAAGAUCUUUAAGAUUAUACAUUGUCCUCUGCAUACAGCUUUAACUGUAUCCCUCAGCUAUCUAGGUGGACAGAUAUUCCUUUUAAUCACUUUUUAGAUCGCUUUUGAUUUCCUUUUUGAUCCAGGGGUUAAUUAAGAUCUGUUGGGCAAGCUAGCCAUAGUGCUGUUUUGUUGGUAACAAACUGUUCUUGGUUCUGCUACUUAUCCUAUUCAAACAACAGACUAUUGUGGACAGGUCAUUUGUCAGAACAUACAGAUCUGCCUAGCCAUUCUGAACAGCUAUCCUGCACUGGGGAAUCAAUGACUAAGUCUGGCCUGACUUAAUCACCCUGAGUGCCACCAGCUCAGUGAGUGAAACACGCCUACCUUAUGGCUUUGAGUUUGCCUCGAAGGUGAACAGAGAAACAUCCCAAGGCCACUCAGGAUUCUGAGAUGGGAAGGAACCCAUAUUUACUCAUCACAUCCCCGCCCUGCAUUUAAGCCCUGUGCCUAGCUGGGGGGUCCUCACCUUCAUCUUCUAGGUGAGUUCAUCCAGUCUCAGAAAAGUGACUUACCACCCUUACACGGCAGGGACCUGGGAAGGAGAACCAGAACCAGGGCCCAGCCACGUUCCACUGCAGGUGUCAGGCAUAGGGCCACAGCCAGAGGAAGGGAUGGGGAGAUAAAACAGCCCUUGGGCUCAAGUAGCUCAGGGAGGGGAGAAGAGCUGUAUCAGGGCUGUUAAAUGAAGAAUCCCAAGGGAAGGUGUAAGGGAGGAGGGCCCAAUGGCUGGGAGUGUGGGGAUUUGGGAUCAUUCAUUUAAGCCUCCUUGCCCACCCCCUUCAUGGAUGAAGAGACUGAGGUCUGAGUGAAGCAUGGAUCAACAAGAGGGCCUUGUUCACAAACUUGUUCUCCCUACCUGCCUGCCGUUCAGGGCCCAUGUUAAACAGGUGAAGUGGAGGACGGUGUUUUUACUUCUUGUCUCAGACUUCUGAUGACUCUUCACGACUCUCAGAUCCUGAUUGUAUCAUAGCAGUGGGCCAGGGGUAAAAGGGCAAAGCUGUACUGAUCUGAAAGAUCCCUAGGGCUUGGCUGUGCAAGGGCCGCCUGCGAGUUCUGGACCCGAUAUUCCUGGACUGCAGGGCUGCCUGCUCAGGGAGGAGCCUGGCUCCUAGCUCUGGUGGAAUCAAACUGGGGCAGUUGUGAGAAUGCUGGUGAGCCUCCCUGCUGGAGUGUGGGACAGCUGCAUUCUUCUGGUUCCGCCCAUCUUGGGUCCCCCCGGCCACACACUGCCCCUCAACUUUGCCCUCUGAGCCCAUAGCUCCGAGGUUGGGACCACAUCCCUGCUGGGUCCCUCGUGUGGACAUUCUGAGAGUUUACCCCUUCUCACCACUCUCCUUUGCAUCCACCAUCCCCUUUCCUGCAGAAAGUCCUUCACUCAGCCAGAUUGCCCGUCCCCUGGUGGCAGGGUGGAGCAGUGGGGUGGGGUUGGCCUUGGGUUUCAGCAUUGUCAUGCUUAGUGGGGGAAGGACUCCAGAAGGGGGGGUGGUCCUGAAGCCUCUGCCCUUUUACUCCCUAGCCAGAUGGCACCUGGAUGCCUUGUCUAUUCAGUCCUGAUGGUGGACUCAGGCCGUGAUUUUAAGGACAUUUGUGCUAUCUCCAGGUGGAUGCCACCCACAACCCAAGACAACAGCUCCUCACAGCCUCCAUGCCUCCUGGGGUCAGCUCUCAGCAUGUCACUGUCCUGCUCCCCAGUCCUCGGUGGCUCCCUAGUGCUUUGUGAAAUCAAGGACUAACUCCACAGCCUGGUGUUCGAAGCCCUUCAUAAUCUGGCUCCUGGCCAGUGUUGCUUCUCACCUGCCACCACUUCUCUCUGCUCCUUGUCCUCUGGCUGGCUCUGCUCCUGGACCGAGCCUGUACCCCUGCCUGAGAGCCCCUCCCCUCCUCCUUCCCACUAUCAAGGGUCUGUUUGCGCUGCUUCCUGUAGCCUCCCUUGAGCCCCAAGUGGUGCCAGGCAUGUAGUGAGCACUCAGCAAAGGUUAUCUGGGUGUGAGUGGACUUAAGCUCCUCCCUGCUCUGAGCCUCUGUGGUCCUUUUAUCCAGCCACCUCAGGCACCUCAGGGGAGUGACAGAUGCCUAGAAUCCAGCACUACCUGGCACUCUGUGGUGCUCAGAGCACCAAUAAAGGCCAUCUCAUUCCCUCUGUCCUGAAAUGAGAGCCUAUAGUUGGAACAUCUGAGUGGGACCAGGUUUGGAAGUUGUGUGCAGCCAGCACCAUCCAUCUAUCCAACCAAUAUUUGUUCUAGACCCUGUUCUAAGCUCUGGGGAUGUGACAGGUGAACAAGACAGACCAAUUCAGGCCCUCAUGGAGCUGACCACGGAACGGAUGAAUGAGUUAUCACAGGGCACUGAAAUCCUUGGCCACUGGCUUGCUGUGUGACCGAGGCAAGCCCUUUCCUCUCUCUGGUCCUGACCUGGAAGGAAACUUCGUGUUGGAGAGAAAUUGCUGCUGAGUGAAGCAGGGGAAAGACCCUUCUCUCUGUUAGGGGGCAUACGUCAUCCAUUAACCCUGUGCUGCUCUGUGGCCCCCUUUAAGGAUUCCCAAUGUAGUCCUGUUGGUUUUCAGGAUGUUUUGGCCUUUGCUCUGUAAGGGGGCACCAGAUUUGGGGAUUGACGCUCAGAGGUGCUCUGAGCAGAGCUAUAGCAAUGGGCUUUUAAUGAAAAACACUUCCUUGGGUUUUUAUUCCAUUAUUGGUAGAAGAGUAUAGAUCACAAUAGACCC
rnacentral:lncRNA from 1 species